GAUUGGCAGCUUAUAAAUUUUGUUGGGUGUUGAAAUCAAAUGGUCACUGAAGAAAGUGAGUUUUUUUUAGAAAAACGAGAGACAUCUAAGGAAAAUUGUGGCUUGGGAAUUAAACUAGAAUACAUAUAGUUGGAUUAGGUCUCAAAGGAUAUGACAAGAAGGGUCUUGGAGCCUGGUAUUGGAGGCUAACAAAAACCUCUGUUGUCAGUUUUCUUCUUUGCAGAUCCCAUUUUCCUGAUUGAGAAGGGGCCAACUUCCAGGCACCUUCAGAUGACCAUCUCUUGGCUUCCUCGGCCAAGAGCUACUUCACGCAGCAACUAGGAAGAAAGGUCGAGAUUGAAAGCCAUGAACAUAGCUCGAUGUAACUGGUGGGGGAAGUGUGAUGCGCACUAAUUGUUCGACAAAAUGCUCGAACCAAGUUUCAAUCUUGAAAAGGUUAAUUCGAGCUUGGUUAUUGUGAUAUUCAUGUUCUGAGUUGAUCCAUGUUCUUGUGAAUCAAGCAUAGUCUGGUUUAAUGAAUUAAAAUUAUUUUCCAAAAACUUUUUUUAAUUAUUUAAAAAUGAAAACUCUGAAAAUUUUCCAAAAUAAAUAAAAAAAUGCAGGAUAGUAUUAAAUAUGGGGAAAAAUGAUUUCUUUUAACGUACCUAAUUGUCCAAAGUCACUUUCCUAAUUUUUUCCUAUUUUAUGUUUUAAGGAUUAUAAUAAUCAUUUUUGUAAAUAACUCAUUUUGCGUAGAUUAGAAUUAUUUAGUGUAAUUUCAUGCAUGUUUAAAUCUCCACUUCACUUACAGGGGUCUUGUCCCGGGGCAUAACAAUAUGGUCAUGUAUUAUUCUUUGCCCGACAUCUUAUUGGGUUUACUUUC